rnacentral:rRNA from 1 species
CCUACGGGUGGCAGCAGUGGGGAAUAUUGGGCAAUGGGCGCAAGCCUGACCCAGCAACGCCGCGUGAAGGAAGAAGGCUCUCGGGUUGUAAACUUCUUUUCUCAGGGACGAAGCAAGUGACGGUACCUGAGUAAUAAGCCACGGCUAACUACGUGCCAGCAGCCGCGGUAAUACGUAGGUGGCAAGCGUUAUCCGGAUGUACUGGGUGUAAAGGGCGUGUAGGCGGGAAAGCAAGUCAGAUGUGAAAACCAUGGGCUCAACCUGUGCCCUGCAUUUGACACUGUUUUUCGUGAGUACUGGAGAGGCAGACGGAAUUCCUAGGGUAGCGGUGAAAUGCGUAGAUAUUAGGAGGAACACCAGUGGCGAAGGCGGUCUGCUGGACAGCAACUGACGCUGAGGCGCGAAAGCGUGGGGAGCAAACAGGAUUAGAUACCCCAGUAGUC